rnacentral:rRNA from 1 species
CCAAAACAUCGCCUCUUGCCAAACAACACGUAUAAGAGGUCCAGCCUGCCCAGUGACUAUAUGUUCAACGGCCGCGGUAUUCUGACCGUGCAAAGGUAGCGUAAUCACUUGUCUUUUAAAUAAAGACUGGUAUGAAUGGCACCACGAAGGUUCAACUGUCUCCUGCAUCCAAUCCAUCAAACUGACCUCCCCGUGCAGAGGCGGGGAUAUACCCAUAAGACGAGAAGACCCUAUGGAGCUUUAAACUUACGGCAACUGCUAAACAAUCCAACCCCACGCGGGAAAACAGACAAUUAAGCAACAAUGACCUAAAGUUUUCGGUUGGGGCGACCACGGAGAAAAAAAAAUCCUCCUUGAUGUACGGGGCCUUACCCUCUUAACCAAGAACGACAGUUCUAAGUAACAAAACAUUUGACCACUAUUGAUCCAGUCCAACUGAUCAACGAACCAAGUUACCCUAGGGAUAACAGCGCAAUCCAUUUCGAAAGUUCCUAUCGACAAAUGGGUUUACGACCUCGAUGUUGGAUCAGGGCAUCCCAGUGGUGCAGCCGCUACUAAAGGUUCGUUUGUUCAACGAUUAAAGCCCUACGGAUCGAG